rnacentral:rRNA from 1 species
CUAAGAAUAUUGGGCAAUGGAGGAAACUCUGACCCAGCCAUGCCGCGUGAAUGAAGAAGGCCUUCGGGUUGUAAAGUUCUUUUAGUCGUGAAGAUGAUGACAGUAGCGACAGAAAAAGCACCGGCUAACUUCGUGCCAGCAGCCGCGGUAAUACGAAGGGUGCAAGCGUUGUUCGGAUUUACUGGGCGUAAAGCGUCCGUAGGUGGUUUGUUAAGUCAGGGGUGAAAUCCCGGGGCCCAACCCCGGAACUGCCUUUGAUACUGGCAAACUGGAGCGUGAUAGAGGAAGAUGGAAUAUCUGGUGUAGGGGUGAAAUCCGUAGAUAUCAGAUGGAACACCAAUGGCGAAGGCAGUCUUCUGGAUCAUCGCUGACACUGAGGGACGAAAGCGUGGGUAGCAAACAGA